AUUGGCCUUGGGUGUUCGUGAUGCAAUUUUUCCUUAGAGCCAACACCUAACAAUGGGGGGCCAGUAUCAGGUAGCCUUAUGGCGCUUGAAAAAGUGCCGUGAAAGGCUAUUCUCGAGGUACCCACUUAUCAUUGCUAGGUUCUAGGAAAAUUCCGCACACGGCACCUUAGGCUUUAA
rnacentral:other from 4 species